rnacentral:lncRNA from 1 species
AGAAGGGAAGAGCAUAUGGGAAGUAGGUAGGUGUGAGGAGUAAGACAUAUAGUGAAGACAAGACAGUUCUGCCUGAAGCAAAGGGACAUCUCUGAAAGCAGAGAUGAGAGAGGACAGAGAGAAGAAUACGGCCAUCUAAAGGAGAAUGUGGAGAGGCAAAAUGGUGGUGGGAAAAAUUAAGUCCAGAAAUCAAUGAACAAGAUUUUCAAAUGAUGACUACUAAUUGUGGGUCUUCCCCUUGCAAGUAAACCUUGCCAACACUUCUGAACACUGUGGACGCCACUGCAUUCUUAAAUCCUUCACAGAGACCCGAAAAGAGCUCAGUCAGACAAAAAAUUCAAAGAUGAAGGAACACCGCAGAGAGUUCUUAAAAUGAAGCUGCCUUGUACCUUCCGUACUUGCUCUUCAGUUAUGGUCCCUGUACCAAAGCUUGUUUCUGUUCUUUCUUAUCCCACACCUCCACAACACCUCCUCAGAGCCCCACCUUGCAUCCAGUCCUGUGGAGAGGCCCAUGUGAGUGAGCUGGGAAGUGAAUCCUCUCUCAUUCAAGCCUUGAGAUGACUGCAGCCCCAGCCAACACCUUGACUCCAGCCUGUGACCGACCCCGAGCAAGAACCACCACCUACAUCACUCCCAGAUUCUGAAUCCACAGGAACUGUGAGAUGGGUGUCUAUGGUUUUCAGCCACUAAGUUUUGGGGUAAUU